CCCUGAAGGAGGGAGCGGAAGAGGAGGUAGAAGGAGUGAGGCUCAUCUCUGAAGACCUUGUCCUGAACCUCUGGAGUUGGGGAAAAUGCCCUCUCUGCACAGCCACUGCCCUCUAGGCAUCUGUCAAUCACUGCGCACAAUACUGUGUUGUUACUGGCUGCUUCUUCAUUCCUCACUCCUCAUUUGUACUGCCAAUUGUGGGACAUGAGCCAUCAGUAGGUCACGAAAUCGAUGUAGAUGAGCAUUAAAAAAAAAAUAGAAGAAAAUGGAAAAUAUCAUAUCAGAGUAUGUUGCAGGUAAUAAUGAGAACCCUAACAAAUACAGCUCCAAACUGCCAGCCAGCCAGCGCCAGAACACGACAGAUCCUGGGAGGAAGCAAGCCUUCUAGCUUUUGAAACCCUGAGCCUAUAAAUGCUUGUUGUUCAAGCCAAACCUGUUGUGUGGUAUUUGUGCUAGCAGCUCAGGCAAAUGAAGAUGGUGUUAUUUUUCAUCCAUUAUGAGGGACACUCCUUUGUAACUGAUGUAGCCCUGUCAUCUGCCUAGCU